rnacentral:rRNA from 1 species
UUUGUACACACCGCCCGUCUUUACUACCGAUUGAAUGGCUCAGUGAGGCCUUCGGACUGGCCCAGGGAGGUCGGCAACGACCACCCAGGGCCGGAAAGUCGGUCAAACUCGGUCAUUUAGAGGAAGUAAAAGUCGUAACAAGGUCUCCGUAGGUGAACCUGCGGAGGGAUCAUUA